UGUGGGCAGGUCUGCAGUCUGAGGGCUGGUGAUCCAGUCUGUGAUUUUUGUGUUUAUCUGUUACUUACUGAGCCACAAGCUGAGAGUCCAGAGACACGAACCACUCGCCAUGCCUCAAGAAGCCCCCAGGAUCCAGGACCCACUCUUAUGAGACUGGCCCAUUGGAGUAGAGGAGCCACCUGCCUUGGCCUUCCGUCUGGCGCCGCCACCCUGGAAUUUGAGCCUUCCCUGGAUGAAUUCCUGUGCUCUCAUGGCCCUGUGCAUCCUACUUAGCAGCCAGAUCUCGGGACUCCAGCCAGGCCCCCAGGGCCUUGCAUUUGUUCAAUACUGACUUGUCCGUCAUGUGCACGGAAGGUGCCCAGUACGUGAAGAGGAAAUUGUAUUCUAACCAACGUGCAUUGACUGAGCAUCUACCUGCCCUGGGAGCUGGAUAUGGAAAGAUGGCAGCUAUGCAUGUUUGUGAAAAGAUACUGCCCACGAGAAGCUGAGUGAAGGGCAGAGUGAAGAGAAUGCACCCACUGCAUUGUUGGUUCAUGAGGGCGAGAGUUGCAUUUGGCUUUGGGAAACCAAGGAAGAACAAAGCACCCAUGUGUCCUCGAAGAGACACAAUCUAGCAGUGUCAUGAUCUGCUCAGCGUAGGGACUGAUCUGACUGGGGCAACAGGGAGUAGAGAAAAGGCAGACACACAGACACAGGCGCAGGAAAGCUGGGGUCGCGUGGGCCAUGCACGCGGAUGGAGGUGCACCAGCUAUAGGCGGAAACUCAGCCGUUUUAUUCACCUGAAUGGAGGAGGUGGGUUUGUUGUCUACAGCUGAAGAAGGCAGCAAGUUUAGCUAGUCUUGGUGCGGGUUUCUGUCGGGCAGCAGUCUUAGGCUGUAAACACAUGGGAGGAGGAAGCAGCCAUCCCCCCCCCCACUGUCCACAUCCACAUGUGGACCAGGGGAGGGCUUUGUCGCUCCCAUGAAUCGGAGGCACUGGGGUCCUUGACGUGGCCGUGCUCAUACAUUCACUCAGGACUUUAUCUGCUCCCUGCAGCACAAAGCAUAUAUGAUCAGAUGAGUCCUGUCAUCGAGUGACGUGGUCCUUAGGGAGUCAUUUCCUUAUCAUCCAUCAUCUCUUUGUUCUUCUGUGCUAACCACAUCUAUAGGAAUACCUGGAAGGAAGGGAAGCUGCCGGUCUCGAGUCCCCCCCCCCCAGGUCCUGGCACAGUGCUCUGCAACUGAUGCGAAUUUUUUUUUUUUUUUUACUAAGCUUACCCAUGUCUGUCCAGUAUUAUAAUUCUGUCUAUGCUGAUUGUUAAAGGGGCCUCAAGAGAACCAGGUCACCAGCUGCAAACAGGACCUGGGUGGCAGAACCAGAUGUCUCCCCACAUCCGCAGUGCUUUGAGGGCAUCAGGAGAAGCCGGGUAGGCAAGAAAGGAAGUAGACUCUAGACUCAUUCACUGCCUCAGGUGUUUUCAGCAAUAAGCAAGAGACUUCCCUAGAUCCCGUCUGCUAUGAACACAGCUAAGGUCGCAGGAACCGGCUCCUUCCUAACUCAGCAGCACCAUCUGCAGGCCCAGGGGGAGUGUUGCAAACAGGACCAAGACCCUGCCCUCUGCUCCCCACUAGAUCCUAGGGAAGGGACCUUUCAUCUUAAAACAGCAGAGUGAGACAGAGAGAUGGACGAGCUCAGAGUUACGGAGUUAGAGAAGGCAGGAUGGGCGAUGCACCCCUCUGACCCUGUCAGUGACACCCCCCUUCCACUCAGUCUCCCUUUCUUCAUCUUUACUCCUCUUCACCUUCACCCCACUCUCCUCUUCCCCUUUCUUCUUCCUCCUCCUCUUCCUUCCCUCUGCUCAACAGCUGUUAUUGAGCCCUUCUUAGGUCCUGGGCAUGGUCUUUUUUUCCUGGGAUAGUAAGUCUGGGUGGAUAACAUUUGCUCUCAAGGAUCACUGUGGAAUUGACGCGUUGGCACUGUAACUUCUCAACUACGGCUGAGAUGCGUCUCUCAGGCCCUACCUGAGGGGCUUCAUCUCACUGACUUCUCACAGAUGAGGAGAUUCAGCCUCGGGGUAGUUUUGGAGCAUGCUCCGUUUGGCCCAGUAAGUUGUGGAGCUGUGAUUCAAACCCAGAUCCUUUCUGCCUCACAAGCAGAGAUGUCAACUUCUAUGCUAUCCGUCUUCUCUAAAGGCUAACUCAAGAAAUAGGCGUCGUCUCAUAAAGUUUUGGUCUUUAAAAUAUUUGCUUAUUCAGCGACAGAGAGAGGUUCAGGCCAUCUUCUCCAAUUUUUUGCUUCUUAAUUCUGAGAAUUUUGUUGCGGUUCUGUUAGGUACUAGUUACUGGAGGAGGUACCAGGGACAGAGAAGGGACAGACUCACAUAGAAUCGUGGCCUUGUGGGUGUCUGUGUCAUAAAGCCAAGUAGCAGACAUGGUUUAGCAGAAGCACUUCAUGGCUCUGGGAAGGCUGCAGGCACGCUGACCGGUAGAAGUGACAACUUCCGAUUUGUGCAGGGCACUGCCUGAGUGACUUAGACAUGGAGUCCCUUAGAAACACGGGCCAAGUUCUAAGAAGUGAGAGAUGAGAACAAUCAUGUCUGCCUCGACAGGGCAGGGAGGGUCUACAUCUCAGGGCCCCGGGAUCCUAGUGUUAUAAAGACUGGUUUCUGCUCCCCUCACUGGAGGGCUGUUGUCAAGUUCUGAGGAAAUGAAUCUCUGUGUUCUGAUCUGUAGGGCAGGGCAACCAUUUUAGUUUCUAUUUCUUCAUUAGCUACCAGCUCACAUUUCUUUUAAGUUCACAGGAAUUUUGCCUUUGUUCUCCUUUUUUUUGUGUGUGUGUGUGGGGGGGAGUCAAUGUCUAGCUUUGUGUGUGUGUGUGUGUGUGUGUGUGUGUGUGUGUGUGUGUGUUUGGUUCCUGAAACUAGAGCUCAGCAGCUUGUAGGUGUCAUAUCAAAAGCCAGAAAGAUCAAGUGUGACUUAAGGAAUUUCUCUACAAAGCAACAGUGAUGCUUUUAGCCAAGGGAGCCCCCAUCACAGGAACAUGGCUUACAGGAAGGGCGGUGAGUGCUACGUAGAGAGGUUUUCCAACACCUCUGCCCUCCCUGCCUUUGCCUUGAACAUCUUCACUUCCCAAGAACAUGUGUGUGUGUGUGUGUGUGCAUGUGCACAGAUUUUAUGUGCUUAACAGAAACAGACUUACCUCAGAGGAAGGACCUCCUGACACUUCUGCUAGGCCCACAAUGGGGGAGGGGAAAUCGCCUACCCUUCAAAAGUCCAAAAUUCUUUCCUCUUUCAAAAAUGGGAUAUCUUUUAAGAUCCCAUGUUCCUCUGCCUGGAAGUGAACAACAGCAUAACAAAAUUUAUAAUAGAAAGUGAGACCAGAUAAGGCCCAGGUCUCCCCCUGCUCCCAAAAAGGAUCAACCAGGCAGUCUCACAGUUAAAUUUAUGAUAGGGUCUAGCCUUUGUUUCAUGGCUUUAUAUAAACUAUAGAUGGCCACAGGCACCUCACCUGUUGGGUCACAGUGUGAACAAAUCUGGUAAAGACAUCCUUCUGUAUACCCCCAUCUUUUUGCCCCCAGUGGUGGGAGGCUGAGGUGACAGAGGCCCUGUCUUUACAUUAUAGAAGGGAAGGUGUUCUUGCUUUCUAAAUGUUGGCGUGAGGGCCAUCCUAAGUCAGCAGCAGAGCUGGGAGCCAAGUUCUUCUGGUUGGCCCUGGGAGAAAGGGCUUAUCAGGUCCUCACUUU